CCAAAAAUCCCAUUUUUCCCCUAAAAAUCCCAUUUUUUCCCAAAAAAACACCCAAAAAUCCCAAUUUUUCCCCCCAAAAAUCCCCGAUUUUUCCCCCAAAUCCCCAAUUUUUCUCCCCAAAUCCCAAUUUUUCCCCAAAAAUCCCAUUUUUCCCCCAAAAAUCCCAUUUUUUCCCAAAAAAAAGACCCAAAAAUCCCAAUUUUUCCCCAAAAAUCCCCAAUUUUUUCCCCCAACACCCCAAUUUUCCCCAAAAAUCCCAUUUUUUCCCUCCAAAACCCCAUUUUUUCCCCCAAAAUCCCCAUUUUUUCCCCGUUUUUCUCCCCCCAGAGCCACCGUGCAGGAGCUGCGGGAUUUGGGUUCCGAGGCCCGGUCCCGGCUGGCCGAGUACGGAGCCGAGGCGCGGGCGCUGCUGGAGCUGAGCGCCGCCGACCUCCGCAGCCGCGGCUCCAACUUCGCCCGCAAACUUCGGAAACGCCUGGGCCGCGACCAGGAGGAGCUGCAGAAACGCUGGGAAGGGGGAAAGGCGGCGCUCAGGCAGCUCUGGGGACCCCCGGAGACACCCCGGCAUUGAGGAGGGGGCAAAAUGGGAAUUUGGGGAAAAAAAAUGGGAUUUUGGGGAAAAAAAAUGGAAUUUUGGUGUGUUUUUUGUGUUGGAAAUGGCAAAAAACGGGAUUAAAAUGGCUCAAAAUGGGUGGAAUUGGCCCAAAAAUGGAUGGAAUUGGCCCAAAAUGGGAUCGAAACACCCCAAAAAUGGAUGGAAUUGUUCCAAAAAUGGGUGAAAUUGGCCCAAAAAUGGAUCAAAACACCUAAAAAUGGGAUCGAAACACCCAAAAAUGGAUGGAAUUGACCGAAAAAUGGGAUCGAAACACCCAAAAAUGGAUGAAAUUUGCCCAAAAAUGGAUGGAAAUGCCCCAAAAUGGGAUCAGAAGACACAAAAAUGGAUGGAACCGCCCCAAAAACGGAUGGGAAAUUCCCAAAAAUGGAUGGAAUUGGCCCAAAAUG
rnacentral:lncRNA from 1 species